rnacentral:rRNA from 1 species
UACGGAGGGUGCAAGCGUUAUCCGGAUUCACUGGGUUUAAAGGGUGCGUAGGUGGGUUGGUAAGUCAGUGGUGAAAUCUCCAGGCUUAACUUGGAAACUGCCAUUGAUACUAUCAAUCUUGAAUACCGUGGAGGUCAGCGGAAUAUGUCAUGUAGCGGUGAAAUGCUUAGAUAUGACAUAGAACACCUAUUGCGAAGGCAGCUAACUACGCGAAUAUUGACGCUGAGGCACGAAAGCGUGGGGAUCAAACAGG